AGGACAAACGCUGGCGGCGUGCAUAAAACAUGCAAGUCGGACGAGCCAAUCCCCGCAAGGGGAAAGGCUAGUGGCGAACGGCUGAGUAACACGUAGGUGAUCUGCCCUGAAGUGGGGGAUAACGACUCGAAAGAGUCGCUAAUACCGCAUGUGACCACCGAUCCGUUUUCGGUGCUCAAAGUCGUAAGACGCUUUAGGAGGAGCCUGCGGCGGAUUAGCUAGUUGGUGAGGUAAUGGCCCACCAAGGCUUCGAUCCGU
rnacentral:rRNA from 1 species